GGAGUGGAUCAGGCCAGUAGUAUUGAACAGGAUGAGUCAAUGAGGAGAGGGAGGCCAGUAUUGUUGAACCGGAAGAGUUGGUCAGGGAAGGAAGCCUAGUAGUGUUUCACCGGAAAAGUUGGUCAGAAAAGGAAGACCAGUAGUGUUGAACCGGAAGAGUUGGUCAGAAAAGGAAGACCAGCAGUGUUGAACCGGAAGAGUUGGUCAGAAAAGGAAGACCAGUAGUAAGGAGCCUAGUAGUGUUGAACCGGAAGAGUUUGUCAGGAGGAAGAGACCACCAGUAGUAAAAAAAGUUGAUCAGAAAAAAGGAGCAGUUGUCAGCAGUGAACAGUAGUCAAUCUAGACAGGGAGACCACUGGUCAAUCAGAAAAAAAUGAAGAGAGAUGAAGAUCAAGAGAGAUGAGGAA